AACCUACCAAUCAUCGUUGCUUCGGCGGGCGGCGCCGGGGGGGGGCAUCGUGUCCCCCCCAGGAGCCGACGCCCUUGCGGGCGCCCGCCGGAGGUACCUAACCCUGACCUAUUGUAUGGCCUCUCUGAGUCUUCUGUACUGAAUAAGUCAAAACUUUCAACAACGGAUCUCUUGGUUCUGGCAUCGAUGAAGAACGCAGCGAAAUGCGAUAAGUAAUGUGAAUUGCAGAAUUCAGUGAAUCAUCGAAUCUUUGAACGCACAUUGCGCCCGCCAGCCAUUCUGGCGGGCAUGCCUGUCCGAGCGUCAUUUCAACCAUCAAGCCCCGUGCUUGUGUUGGGGAGCUGCGGGCCCUCCGGGGCGCGCAGGCCCUGAAAUGCAGUGGCGGGCUCGCUGACACACCGAGCGUAGUAGCAUAAUUCUCGCUCUGGGCGUGCUGCGGGUACCGGCCGUGAAACGACCACUCGAGAGAGAGGACACCCAAAGGUUGACCUCGGAUCAGGUAGGAAUACCCGCUGAACUUAAGCAUAUCAAUAA
rnacentral:rRNA from 1 species